GCAGUCGACGACUCUGGUAUUGAUUGGUGCUUGCAUCAUGAUUUACAUUUGAGUGAGUGGCGAACUGGUGAGUAACACGUGGGAAACCUGCCCAGAAGCGGGGGAUAACACCUGGAAACAGAUGCUAAUACCGCAUAACAACUUGGACCGCAUGGUCCGAGUUUGAAAGAUGGCUUCGGCUAUCACUUUUGGAUGGUCCCGCGGCGUAUUAGCUAGAUGGUGGGGUAACGGCUCACCAUGGCAAUGAUACGUAGCCGACCUGAGAGGGUAAUCGGCCACAUUGGGACUGAGACACGGCCCAAACUCCUACGGGAGGCAGCAGUAGGGAAUCUUCCACAAUGGACGAAAGUCUGAUGGAGCAACGCCGCGUGAGUGAAGAAGGGUUUCGGCUCGUAAAACUCUGUUGUUAAAGAAGAACAUAUCUGAGAGUAACUGUUCAGGUAUUGACGGUAUUUAACCAGAAAGCCACGGCUAACUACGUGCCAGCAGCCGCGGUAAUACGUAGGUGGCAAGCGUUGUCCGGAUUUAUUGGGCGUAAAGCGAGCGCAGGCGGUUUUUUAAGUCUGAUGUGAAAGCCUUCGGCUCAACCGAAGAAGUGCAUCGGAAACUGGGAAACUUGAGUGCAGAAGAGGACAGUGGAACUCCAUGUGUAGCGGUGAAAUGCGUAGAUAUAUGGAAGAACACCAGUGGCGAAGGCGGCUGUCUGGUCUGUAACUGACGCUGAGGCUCGAAAGUAUGGGUAGCAAACAGGAUUAGAUACCCUGGUAGUCCAUACCGUAACGAUGAUGCUAGUGUGGAGGGUUUCGCCCUUCAGUGCUGCAGCUACGC
rnacentral:rRNA from 2 species